GAUACCUCGCGUGCGUGAGAAAUUUGGAGGGAAAGGACACCAAGCCCCAUGGGGCCCAAAGCAGACAGGACAUCCCACUGCCCCGGCAGUGGCUCUCCGGCCAGGCCAGACUGGGGACACCUGGAGUGCCUGGCUGGCCAAGCAACCCAGGCCCCUGGGGAUGCCUGGCCGGGCUUUUGACCUCAGGCAGCAGACAUGGCACUGCUGGCAUAGCCUGGGAAGGGGCAGGAGGAGGCGCCUCUCCUGGGGGCCCAGCCCCAGAGCUGCGGGGACGGAGGGCUGAGUCCCCGAGGAGUCCUUGCGUAGAGGGCUUUGUCUGGGCUUCGGGGCCGCACCGAAUGCAGGUCUGCUUGCAGGCACUGGAGGCCCCAGGGACCGAGCUGUUCGCAGAGGAACGGGAGAGGCGUCUUAGCCCAGGCACUGAGACUGGGGUUUGACGAGCUGCCCCCCACUGCCCUGGAACAGGCCCGACAGUGUGCGCCCAGAAAGACUGCCUGCCUGGCGAGUCGUGGUGGCCUGGCCCGGGCUUGGCUGGACCAGGACGGGUAUGGGAGCCAGGCCGCACUGGUGGGCGGUGGGCACGUUGGGGAGGGGGUGUGGGGCAUCUCAGAAGGAAAACCGCAGGGAAGUGGAGCAUCCUGGGGCUGCCACCGUGGACUUGCCACCAUCCCACCCGUGACCCAUGGCCGUGGCACCUUGUGUCCGGGGCCCGCUGCUGUGGGCGGAAUCGGGGCACGCAACUGCUGGGCGCAGUGCUCUGCUCUGCGAAGGGCCUCCACUCAGGUGGAGGGGGCCUUGUCUCCUCGAACCAGCUCCCUGCGCACACGGGUGUACUGCACACAUGUGUGAUGCACACACACACACACGUAUGCAUGUGUGCCCAUGCUGCAUCCUCACCAGCCACACACCAGACCAUGCAGAUGCACACCCGCUUCCAUGAGUGUGCAUGCACGCAUAUCCAUGUGUGCAUGUAGCGCACAUACACAUGUACCUGCCCCUGCAGGCAGCAUGCACGCAUACCCACCCACGUGUGCACACACACAUCUCCAUGCACACGCACGUCUCCAUGCACACACAUAUGCUGCAUACACACAUGUCCACACAUGCACAUACAGUCACACGCACGCCAUGUGCACACAUGCAUGAAUUGGGGUGCCUGCCUCAGUUGUGCAAGUGCACAUAUCCGUAUGCACCAGGGCAUGCACAUUGCUGCACACACCCACUCUGUGCCAGCACACACCCGCACACCCACACAUGUGCACGUGCCUGUAGCCUCGCUCGCCUUCCUAGGCUGCAGGGAGAUUGUAUUUCCAUCACCCCGUGGCAGGUGGCUCCUCCCAGGUUUCGUCGGCCUGCCCCGUGUGAAGCGUCCUCCAGCUCGCUCCCUCUAGCCUGGGGCCCCUUUGUCACCGCCUUCAUCACCGCCUGCCAUGGUUCCGGGCCUUGGCACGUGCCCUCCUCCAGGCUGGCCACGCUGUCCUGUCUGUCCCUUGGACUCUUCUGUCCCUUCAAAACAUGUUGCCCCAGAUGCCUCCCUCGGAGGCCCCGGGCUUCCAGGCCGCAGUGGGGCCCUUCACUGGCCUGGGUGCCACCACCAGACCGCGUCUCUCUGCCGUGGGCACUUGAGGGGAGAGGCUGUAUCUCUGCGGAGCCGGGCUCGCAGCUCAUAGUGGGAACUCAGUCACAGCGUGGCAGAGGGAUGGAUGGUACGAAGGGCCUGGGGUCCUGCAUACGCCCCAGCCGCCCCAGCUGCCUGCAGUGUAGGCGGUGCAGGUGGAGCCCAGCAGAGCGCAGUGCUGCCUCGCACAGAGCCGCCCAUGCCGGACCCAGCGUCCCCCGCCAGCGGGCCCUUUCUGCCCCCUUCCUGUGGAAGUUAUGAGCUUAAGCCUCCUCUCACCCCCUUGCUUGCUGUCUGGCAGCCUGGACCCCCGCUGCCUCCCGGGACCUCAGUGUUCCCAUCUGUAAAGUGGGGGUAUUGGCUGGAUGGAAGCUCCGUGCCUGCCUCGAGCUCCUGGGGCUGGUGUUUCGUCUGCCUGCGCCCCUGCCCUCGGUGGCUGCCUGCAGGGACGAGGAGAGCCCUUCCAGCAGGGUGGCUGGUGCAGCAGCGGAGGGGAGGCCUGGCCCACUAGACUCCAGACCAAACAGCUUGUGUCUCCAUUUUUCCCCACUUUUAUUCGAAAUUUCAUUUUCAGAGAUGAGGCAGGGGAAAAAUGAGGCUGGCUUCUCUCCCUGCCCCUCCCUAAAGAAUUCCAGAACCACUUUGUCUUGUCAGAGGGCGGCUGGGAUCCGCCGGCCGGGCCUGGCCCUCCGCGCAGACCGAAUCCAUUGCCGUAUCGAUCACUUUGAUGGAUUUGGCACAGCUGAGUUCUUCCAGAGCUGGCGGAAGUCCCUCUGGGGAAAGAACUGCUUUGGGAACCGGCUUUGAUUUGCAGUGGGUGUAACAGAGGAAGGCAGCAGGUCAGUUCCUCUGAUUGAGCACCAGCUGUGUACCCCACCCAGCCUGGGACCCACUGGGGUUCAAGCUUGCUCCCCGCCCCCACCGCCCAUCCUGGCUCUCCCCUCUGCGGCCGGUUCCAGGCUUGAGCGGUGCCCCUUCCAGGGCCUCGCUGCUGCCCAGAUGCCUGAGCCUGGCAUUCCAGGCCCUCCUGGCCUGGCCUCCUCUGGGCUCGGGCUGACUAGCUGUUCCCUUGGGACCUACCCUGCGGGUGCUCGUGAAUGGCAGUCUGAGAGCCCCCCACCACCUGGCCCCGGUCAGCGGCUGACCUGCCGGGUCUCCACGAUGAGGUGCCCAGAGCUCUCAGCCCAGGGUGCCCAGGCGCGGCCCCACCCCUGUUGCCCCGCCCUGGGCCUGGAACACCUGCUUCUGACUUGGCUGCUCACCUGCCUGAGCAGGUGGGAGGCACGGCUCCACGCUCCCUCCGCACCAGGCUCCCUGGAAUCCCCCGCAAGGUUCCGUGGCCGGUGGUAGCACCCGGGUCCCUGGGCCUCUCCUGGAGUCACUGCCCCAGGAAGCGUCCUAAUGCAGCCUCCGCCCCUACUCCCAUCUGUCCCUUGGCCCUGCCCAUCCGCCGUGCUCCCGGUAGCCACCCUUAGGCCAGGGCCUGUCCUGAGCCGUCCGUAGGCGAUGGGCCAGUUCACCCUCUUUGUGUCCCUUCAGGGCGUGUGCUGCGUGGCCGUCCCUUUCUGCAGGUGAAGGUAGGGGCCCAGGUUGCCCCAGGUCAUGUGUGGUCCCCUGUCUGGCUGUCACGUGCCUGCUGUCCACUCACCUUUGCCUCCUCGCCCGUCCCCAGCCGCUGGCUUCGUGGCUGGAGGGGAAAGGUCGCAUGACCCAGUCCCGGCCAGUAAGAGCUCCCUGAGGACAAGCAAGAGAGGUACGAGAAGACUCACUGCCUUCCCACCUGUUUGGUCAUGUGUGAGGAUGUGAUGCCUGGAGCCGCAGCAGCUCUCUUGGGACCAGGAGGAGCUGACUCCAAAGAUGACAACCCUCAGAGGACAAAGUCUGUGUCCCUAAUGCUGUUGGUCUUGAGCCUCUAAAGGAACUCACCCUGCCGCCAGCCUUUGGCCAGAUUUCUUGCCAAGGGAGGCACUGAGUGGCCUCAUUAUUCAAGGGCUUUGGGGAGGAGGGUUCCGCUGCCGUUGAAUGUACCCUCGUGGAUUUGCUGUCCCCAGCUCGAUCCUGCCUCCU
rnacentral:lncRNA from 1 species